rnacentral:rRNA from 1 species
CCUACGGGUGGCAGCAGUGAGGAAUAUUGGUCAAUGGACGAGAGUCUGAACCAGCCAAGUAGCGUGAAGGAUGACUGCCCUAUGGGUUGUAAACAUCUUUUAUAUGGGAAUAAAAUGUUCCACGUGUGGGAUUUUGUAUGUACCUUAUGAACAAGGAUCGGCUAACUCAGUGCCAGCAGCCGCGGUAAUAUGGAGGAUCCGAGCGUUAUCCGGAUUUAUUGGGUUUACAGGGAGCGUAGGUGGAUUGUUAAGUCAGUUGUGAAAGUUUGGGGCUCAACCGUAAAAGUGCAGUUGAAACUGGCAGGCUUGAGUACAGUAGAGGUGGGCAGAAUUCGUGGUGUAGCGGUGAAAUGCUUAGAGAUCACGAAGAACUCCGAUUGCGAAGGCAGCUCACUGGACUGCAACUGACACUGAGGCUCGAAAGUGUGGGUAUCAAACAGGAUUAGAUACCCGUGUAGUC